CCAAUAGCAAACUUAUCAAAUCAGUGGGCGAAAUUGACAUGAUGGUAAAGGAAAAGAACAAAGCCUCAAGAUCAACAAGAAUAAUCUCAGAUGCAGAUUCAUGUCCCAACGGGGCAUGGACAAAUUAAAAGUUCUAUCGAGAACAUCCAUGGUACAAGUUUCAUGACAAAUAACUUGUACAGUCUGUUGCCAGUCCAGUCAGGUCAUGGCUCCAAUUAGAAAGUGGAAGAUCUCGGGUCAAAAUCACAUUAUUGAUUGUUUACAUGGAAAAAGAAAAAAGAAAAAGGA